GGCAAACAACGCUACAACAUACGUCCACAAGGGGUUGUUGCAGCUCCAGUGGAAGCAGGACUUGGACCUGGGCCUGGACCUCAUCAGCAAGGCCAUCGAGAUCGACAAUAAAUGUGACUUUGCCUACGAAACCAUGGGAACUAUCGAAGUUCAAAGGGGCAACCUGGACAAGGCAAUAGACAUGUUCAACAAGGCCAUCAACCUGGCCAAGUCCGAGAUGGAGAUGGCCCACCUCUACUCACUGUGUGACGCAGCAUACGCCCAGACUGAGGUAGCCAGGAAGUACGGGCUGAAGCCACCCACACUGUAACUACCCUGUCACAUGACCCACCCGACCCAAGACUCUCCACUGCUAAACCUGAUUGUAUUAUAACUGCAGAUGUUUCAGUCAUUUGGUUUUGUAGACAUGCUGG